rnacentral:rRNA from 1 species
GACGAACGCUGGCGGCGUGCUUAACACAUGCAAGUCGAACGGAAAGGCCCUGCUUUCGGUGUGCUGGCGUUGCGAACGGGUGAGUAACACGUACGUGGUCUACCCCUUUCUAUGGGUUAAGCCUGGGAAACUGGGUCUAAUACUGGCUGGGACCAUUCUUUAGGUGGUGUGGUGGAUAGUUUAGUUUCGGUAAGGGGUGAGCUCGCGGCCUAUCAGCUUGUUGGUGGGGUAAUGGCCGACCAAGGCGUCAACGGGUCGCCGGCCUGAGAGGGUGGGAGGCCAGAUCGGGACUGCGAUACGGGCCAGAAGCCUACGGGAGGCAGCAGUGGGGAAUAGUCUGCCAGAGGCGCAAGGCUGAAGCAGCGACGCUGCGUGGAGGAUGACGCUCUGCGAGUUGUGAACACCUUUCGGCUAAGACGAAGCGCUUGUGGUGACGGUAGUGGUAGAAGAAGCAACGGCUAACUACGUG